AGUUUUUUGUUUUUCAAGUCCUGCUACCACAUUGUGUUUCGACCACCUGCCUGUUUGUAUUGACCACGCCUUAAGCCUGAUGUUUUUGAUCUGUUUGCUUGUUUUGGACUGCCUUGCCGUGUACCGGACCCCACUGAAUCCUUCAGUAAAC